rnacentral:sRNA from 1 species
UAAGUUGUCAAGGUAUGUCCCAAACAUU